CCUACGGGAGGCUGCAGUGGGGAAUUUUGGACAAUGGGGGAAACCCUGAUCCAGCAAUGCCGCGUGUGUGAAGAAGGCCUUCGGGUUGUAAAGCACUUUUUCAAGAUUGGCGGUACCGGAAGAAUAAGCACCGGCUAACUACGUGCCAGCAGCCGCGGUAAUACGUAGGGUGCGAGCGUUAAUCGGAAUUACUGGGCGUAAAGCGUGCGCAGGCGGUCUGUUAAGACAGAUGUGAAAUCCCCGGGCUUAACCUGGGAACUGCAUUUGUGACUGGCAGGCUAGAGUAUGGCAGAGGGGGGUAGAAUUCCACGUGUAGCAGUGAAAUGCGUAGAGAUGUGGAGGAAUACCGAUGGCGAAGGCAGCCCCCUGGCCAUACUGACGCUCAUGCACGAAAGCGUGGGGAGCAAACAGGAUUAGAUACCCUUGUAGUC
rnacentral:rRNA from 1 species